CUCAAGCCUUUAAAUUAUUCCUAUUUGUUUUGGUUAUCUAGGUUAUGUUAUUACAUAGGAAAGUGGUGGAUCAACACUAAAAGAAACGUAUGAUGUGGUUAGCAGUGUGUUGAUUGAUUUGUCUCGUGGGAGGCAAACUCUUCUUGAAGUUGAGUAUUCAUAUCGUUCGAACUUAUCACCUAUUUCCUCAUGCAUAAAGUUGGCAAUCACUGUUGAGUAUCUAUAGUACUCUUUCUCAUUCUUUGAAUACAUUUCUUUUUCCAGCAUAAAGUUUUUCAAGUUAUGAACCUUGUAUCCCAUUUUAGGGUUUUCCGACCUAUGUUUGAGUUUUCCUCUCACAAUUAAACUUUCGUUUGUGCAACUUUUGAUUACACUUUCAGCAUUUAAAUACAGCUAAAUCUGCUGUCUAUUUGCUCAUGACACUCAGGUUGAUGGAAAGUAUUGAGAGUUAUGGUGAACGAAACAUGCUAUCGUGCCAAUGAAAUCUAAUUAGCAGAAGAUUUCUAUUUAUGGUGAUCGCAUCGUGCAGCUGCUUCCAACAUCUUAUUAAGACAUGAUUGGGCGAGUGUGCUCCGAAGAGCCUGAACUUGCCUCUUAAUCAAUAAUUCUUUAAAUUUCUAUGGUUUUGUAGUUGCACAUAUAAAUUCUAAAUUUAAAAUGCUUUCGUAGGUGGGAGUAAUUUCUUAGACUUUUUAGAAUUUUCAGUUGCAGACUUAUGGGAUCAUAGCACUAGUACAUGCUACGUUGGAGAGGAAAAAACAACAAAUAUAAUGGUCUUCCAGUUUGCCUUAGUGAGUGCAAAUGAUUAUCUUCAAAUAACCAUCUCACAUACAGGAUCAUUCACAAUAUUGGAAGGUUUGUGAACUCUUUUUAUUUGCAUCUUUAAUCACUUUUAAUCGAACUACUGAGAGGUUUGUCUUUAAUGGUUUAUGUAGAUGAAAACUAUCGUCAAGACCAUUGAAACAACUCCAGAUCAAGAAUUAAAGGGAUCUAGGGAUUUGAUGCUUCGAGUUCGCCGGAGAGAUUCAUACCAGGUUUGAUAAAUUUAAUUACUUGAUGAUUCUUGAAUGGUAUACCACCCUUACUAUUUGUAUUUUGCAAUUUUACUCUUACAUUAUUUUCUGAAAGAUGAUGUGCUGACAAUAAUAUUUUGUCUUGAAUGUUUUGUAACGAAUAUGGUGUUCAAAGGAAAAAUUGGACAAGUACAAGAAAGUCACUACACAAGAUUGACUGUGUACCCAUGUACCCUAUGCAUGUUCUUGGAAAACAAUGUCUUUUUGGGCAUCUUCGUAUGACAUUAGCUGGAUUUUUUUCUUCUGA